UUUGGCUCUCAGAACAGUGAAGCUUACCAAAUGUGGUUCUGUCCUGGCCAUGAGGAAGCUUCAAGAGCACUCCAAGGCUAUGAGUAUUUACAUGAUAUUAUAAUUACCAACCUUCAAAAUACCUUCAGUAGAUCAAACUCAAGAUUUUUCACUUGCCUGGGUUGUUUGUGAAAGACCUAAACUCGGAUGCACAGGGGCAAUUCAUCUUAAAGCCUGCAGACUCAGCUACAAGCCAGCAGCAAAAUGUGGAGGAAAGAUUUCAUAAGAAACAAGGGACUGUAUUGACAUCUUGCUUCCACAGGGGCUCUGUGCCCCACCAGGACCAAGAAUGCCCUGCCCCAACAUUUAAUACAGGAAAACUCUU
rnacentral:lncRNA from 1 species